rnacentral:rRNA from 1 species
AACGAACGCUGGCGGCAUGCCUAACACAUGCAAGUCGAACGAGAUCCUUCGGGGUCUAGUGGCGCACGGGUGCGUAACGCGUGGUAAUCUGCCCUUAGGUUCGGAAUAACAGUUAGAAAUGACUGCUAAUACCGGAUGAUGACGUUAAGUCCAAAGAUUUAUCGCCUGAGGAUGAGCCCGCGUAGGAUUAGCUAGUUGGUGUGGUAAAGGCGCACCAAGGCGACGAUCCUUAGCUGGUCUGAGAGGAUGAUCAGCCACACUGGGACUGAGACACGGCCCAGACUCCUACGGGAGGCAGCAGUGGGGAAUAUUGGACAAUGGGCGCAAGCCUGAUCCAGCAAUGCCGCGUGAGUGAUGAAGGCCUUAGGGUUGUAAAGCUCUUUUACCCGGGAUGAUAAUGACAGUACCGGGAGAAUAAGCCCCGGCUAACUCCGUG